rnacentral:misc_RNA from 1 species
AAUAAUUCGAUGACGAGAAAGAGUAGCUAUGUUUAUCUUAUCUACAGAGAGUUGACGAUUGCUGAAAGUCAACGGUGAGACCAUAAUGAAAAUCCUCUCCGAGAAGCAAAGUUGAAAAAUUUUUAAACUUUGACGGCAUUCUACCGAUACCCAGGACGCGUAU